rnacentral:rRNA from 1 species
UACAGAGGUCUCAACCGUUGUUCGGAUUCAUUGGGCGUAAAGGGUGCGUAGGCGGUCGGGUAAGUCGGAUGUGAAAUCUCAGGGCUCAACCCUGAAACUGCAUUCGAUACUGCCUGGCUAGGGUACUGGAGAGGAGACUGGAAUUUACGGUGUAGCAGUGAAAUGCGUAGAUAUCGGGAGGAACACCAGUGGCGAAGGCGGCUACCUGGCCCAUUCUUGACGCUGAGGCGCGAAAGCUAGGGGAGCGAACGGG